UGCAGUGUAGCAUAAUGGUUUAAGCAUUGGACUAUGACUCUGGGGACCAGGGUUCAAUUCCCACUCUGCCA